rnacentral:rRNA from 1 species
CGUAAGGAACUUGCCUCUUGGUCUGGGACAACUGUUGGAAACGACAGCUAAUACCGGAUAUUAUGAGAUUCUCGCAUGGGAAACUUAUGAAAGCUAUAUGCGCCAAGAGAGAGCCUUGCGUUCCAUUAGCUAGUUGGUGGGGUAACGGCCCACCAAGGCGACGAUGGAUAGCCGGCCUGAGAGGGUGAACGGCCACAAGGGGACUGAGACACGGCCCUUACUCCUACGGGAGGCAGCAGUGGGGAAUAUUGGACAAUGGGCCACAAGCCUGAUCCAGCAAUUCUGUGUGCACGAUGAAGGUCUUCGGAUUGUAAAGUGCUUUCAGUUGGGAAGAAGAAAGUGACGGUACCAACAGAAGAAGCGACGGCUAAAUACGUGCCAGCAGCCGCGGUAAUACGUAUGUCGCAAGCGUUAUCCGGAUUUAUUGGGCGUAAAGCGCGUCUAGGCGGAAAAAUAAGUCUGAUGUUAAAAUGCGGGGCUCAACUCCGUAUUGCGUUGGAAACUGUUUUUCUAGAGUACUGGAGAGGUGGGCGGAACUACAAGUGUAGAGGUGAA